CAAGUAAUCUACCACUUUGUUUAAAUGUUUAGAAAUUACAUGUUUGACUUUCUUGACAGCAUUAGUCUGUGAUUUUGACAUUAGUAAACCCAUAAGUCUUUCUCAGUAAGUGUGAUGUGGGUCCUGAGCAUGGUAGACAGCAUUUCAUUUUUUACUAUGAAAAUUGAAAGUGGAGUCACCAGGUUCUUAGCAUUUUAAGAUUACUGAUAUAAGUUGCUGUAGUUAAUCAGUCCCUUGGCAAACACGCCUCAGUCUUUCUAAAUGAAGAGUUAGUAAACCACAUACUUUUAUUACACUUUAAUUGAAUAUCUUCUAGCUUAAAGGUGAAUACAAAUUAACAUAAUUUUAAUAUGGCUUGUGAUUGAAUUAAUAAUAUAGUUUUUCAUAUAAGUUUCAUAAAAAUGGAGGAUGAAUGGUAGUAUCUUAAAAAAAAACUUUUAUAAAGAUACAGAAUUGUAAAUCAACUUUCAUUUUAAAAAAACUUAGAAAGGAAGUAAUGUAUACUCUUGUUGAUAUUGAUAAUUUCAUAUAAUUAGCUGUCAAAUUCAUUUGGUUAGAUUUAUAAAAAUGUAUGAAUGAAUAAAUCAUGUAAUUUUGUCCUCUGGCUGUUAAUUUUUUUCAUGAACAUAUAUUUGAUAAUGUGAGAGCAUGUUAACUGAAGCAUAAAAGAUACAGAAUUCUAAUUAACAGUGUUGUAGGGAAGAGAUCAUAUAAACACACUGUGUAUCAUUCAUGUUGAAUUAGGGUGAUACC
rnacentral:lncRNA from 1 species